UCUAGUGCGACUCGGCCAAAAGGAACGCCA
rnacentral:sRNA from 1 species